UCCCCCAAAAGCAAGAAGGCACCAAGUAAUAAAACAACACUGCACACCACUGAAAAAGUGAUGUACAGAGACAACACAUCCAUAACAGCAGGAAUGGUGAAAGCAAUGUGCACAGUCAUAAAAGCAUACCAACUUUGUAAAAUGUCACUAUAUCAGUAACAGGAACGGCUCUCAAGCUGUCAUGUCCACAGAUGAGAAUACCAACUCUACUCACCAAGAAAGUGCCAGAUGUCAUGUGCUGCAAUGGUAGAACUCCCGAGCUCCUCAGCCUCUCAAAGAGUUCACGUGCACACAAAAUCCAGCAGAGAGCUCAGCAUGACCCUGACAUGGCUGAAGCAAAGAAGGCACAUAUGGAUGCAAGCUCUACAAUACUGACUGCUGAGGCCUUUGUAUUACCUCCACUCUCCCUUUCCUCAAGGUGUGAUGGGACAGAAAGCAGAGGGGAGCUGAGCCAAGGACUCCAGUUGAUGUGAAAAUUGUUUCCCAAAGUCACUGAAAUUUGUCUUCCUGUCUGAGGAGCAAAGACUCUGACUCUGCUGUGCUGUGCUCAGCAGCUGGUGCCGGUUGCCUGUGCUCCCAUGAAGACCAUGGACUCUUGGGAUGCCACAGAGACAUCUCAGUGCACACUUCUGAGGGCAGGACAAAGCCAU
rnacentral:lncRNA from 1 species